GGGCAUAUUGCCUGAGCUCAGCAGAUCGAGACCAUCCUGGUCAACACAGUGAAACCCCAUCUCUACUAAAAAUACAAAAAUUUGCUGGGAAUGGUGGC